AUUUAAACGGGGCUGAUUCACUUUCACCGUGGCCUGAGGCUAUCAAACUUGAACUGCAGGUAAAACUUUACAGAGCCCUCCAGAUGAACCUACAGCCCGGUCACUGUGUUAGCCUGUAGAGAGAGCAGCAGCAGCAGCAGCAGCAGCAGCAUGCAUGCAUUGUCCCAGGAUCUAUUACAGUAUAUGGGUGCCCCCUAGCGUAUGAAUUUUUUUUGCUUCAAAUAAGAUUCAAUUUAGAGGAGCCGUCGGACACGGAAACCGAUUCAGUCUGCUCUCUCGCAUCGACCAAACUAACGAGCACCAUUUUAAACUGAUGACUGUUUGUUUAAAUUCUGUUUUACAUGACUUGGACGGCAAACCUUUGAGAGUUGCCAAAGUUGGAUUUACUUUUUGCCACUUCAGGCAGUCCCAGCGGUGAUCCCGUGAACAUGGAAAGUCUGUAAAUAAAAUACUCCGCAAGGUACUGGCUUAUCGAGGACCCAGUUUUGCUUCAAAUGGAGCAGAGUUAUGCACCAGGCCCAUGUGUCCCAAGCGACCCAGUUUGAAUUGGCUCAAUUCAUUAAGCCAGGACCCGUGCACAAGCCCGAGUUCACACGGCGAAGACACUUGCAACAAACAGCUGCUGCACAUUCCUGAUGGGAGGGCCAGGCAGAUGUCCAAGGAAAAUCAAAGGGAGAGACAGGGGAAAGUUUACGAGCCAGCGUUUGCCAACCUCAAUGAGAAGCUCUUCAUCCCCUCCUCAAAGACAGGGUGCAGCUGGCGGAACUCGCCGCCCUGUCCUGUUUGGGGCUCCCCUGGUUCUCCCUCUCCCACUCAAAACACUGCAAGGACUCAACAUGCUGACAAUAUCAGUUGUCUCCUCUGUCCUCUCCAUUUGAACAACAACAACUUUGGCCUUUAGCAGAGGUGGUCUGGGGUUCAUUACAUUUUAUUCCCUUGACAUUGUUAAAGUGAACUAAUUCAGAUUUUUUUUAAAAAAGAGAGUUGCAAAUGCAUGACUACAAAAGACAAAAAAAAAUAAGUGUGUGUACAGUUAAUGGCAUAAAUUUAAUAAAGUUAAGUCAAGCAGGGGAUGGUUCUGGUUUUUAAAGGCACUCUCUUUAAUUUGUAAAAAUACAUUUUCAUAGGUUAUUGACUGUUUUUGAAAUUUCUUUUUGUAUUUGUCAGAUGGAUUUAAGUGGAAAGAUUUCUACAUUUUAUCAAAGUGCUCACAAAAAUGUUAACAACUGCUCAUGUUGGUUUUUGCAUGUGAUCUUUCUAUGAUUUUCUUUGCAAGUAACGCUAAGUCAGGAUGUGUAGCUCAAUAUAUUUCAGGUCCUUGAAAUAG
ensembl:lncRNA